CUUUGAUUAAUUACUUCAUUACCCAGAAGAAACCGUUGUCGUUGAUCUUCACAUUUUUCGAAUUCCACCGGGUCCGAUACAUCUUUGUUGUUGACAUUUGAAUUUUCAAUCCAUUCAAUACCUUCAUCUUGAAUGGCACAUGCGAGUGCAUUUAAGCCACCGUCAUGAUCAGGAUCCAAAGAACACGGAACAAAGAAAGACUCGUCAUCACUAAAAUUAGCAUCAAUUCGCCCUUGAUCCUCUUCAUCGGUUUCAAUAACAUACUCCUCAUCACUUCGAAUUAAGUCCUCAUUAUCAGUUGUAGUCACUUCCCAAUUGGUCCAUUCACGAACACUAGAUGAUGGACCUUCAUUUUGAUAAGGAGGGAUAGUAUUUCUUACUUCCCAAGCCGGCUAUUCAUGAACAC
rnacentral:lncRNA from 1 species